UACGUAGGGUGCGAGCGUUAAUCGGAAUUACUGGGCGUAAAGCGUGCGCAGGCGGUUCGUUGUGUCGGCGGUGAAAGCCCCGGGCUUAACCUGGGAAUGGCCGUUGAAACUGGCGAACUGGAGUGUGGCAGAGGGGGGUGGAAUUCCGCGUGUAGCAGUGAAAUGCGUAGAGAUGCGGAGGAACACCGAUGGCGAAGGCAGCUCUCUGGGACGGUACUGACGCUGAGACGCGAAAGCGUGGGGAGCGAACAGG
rnacentral:rRNA from 1 species